rnacentral:lncRNA from 1 species
GGGUAAAUGAGACCAUUUUUGUUUUUAUACGUUUCACUGCGGGAUACUUUUGUCCAUGGUGCUCCUAAGUUGCAGUCGUAGGUCGCCGAGAGGAUAUCGUUGCUCGAUGGUAUCUGAAUGAUUCAAGAAAAAUAUUAAUCUUCUAAAAAAUCAUUGAGCUAUUCAAUUUUCCCCAACUUAUUGUGAAUCUUGACUUUUCAUAUCCUGCUCUAAACGUCAUUUCGCAGUUUCGGCACUCUGAAUUUCGAUUAUUUAAAAAAAACGAAUGCUUACUUUUGCAGGUAUGUGUUUAUCACUGUAAUAAAGGUGGAACGUGACAAGCUCGGAGACGGGGGAGCUUGAACAACUUCUCAGAUACUUGAUCGAGUCGACGGUUGACUGAAAAUCGGUUCCAGGUGCGUACAGGGCCACGGAAAUUGGGGCCUUCCACCUGUUGAGUAAUGGUUCAAGAUUGUCCAGAAAGGUGGAGUCCCACUUCUGCAUAAUUACAAUCCUGUGCAUCCACCUUGAAAUUUGAUCUGGCGAGGUUGCGCUUGUCUGACAAAAGGCAAUGGUUCCGAGGAUGAGCAGCCCAAGAGUAAUGGAUCGAAGCACACCCAUAGUCAACAAUUAGUGACUGAUAUCACGUCAGAUCGAAUUGACUUUUAUAGUAAUCUAGACAGAAAAACUAUGGUCGAAAUUUUGGAUUCGUUGAACACAUUUUUAUAUCACCGAUGCGCGUGAUCAUAUUUAUUUCCUGAAGUUAAACAGCGACAUAAAGAAGAUUUUAUCAUUAGAAUUGAUAAGCAGAUUUCAACAUUUCCUUAUUCAAACAGUAGUAAGAAUACAAGUCUGGCUGAGUGUAGAAACGUGGUAAAAGGUGGGCUGAUUCCCGAAAGACAGACUUGCCACAACUUUUGUUCGAAUUAUUUCCUCCUUAUCCAUGACUCAUGAUCGUUUCGGACGUCAUCAACGCGAUUGCCAAGUAAUUUUGAUAAGAAUAUUAGGCUGCUGAUACAAUUUGACUGGCAGAAAAGUUGGACAAAUUUUAUCAACUUUUGAAGCAUUUCUUACAGUUGUUCAAAUACAAAACCAGGAAAAUGAGAAAAUGACGAUGUUUUUGAUAUCGCACCUUCUUCAAGGUAAUUCAUUUAUUCUUGCGUCAAAGUCCAAUAAUAUUACAGCUCACAAAAACAUAUAUACAUUCUGUAUGGAGCACAUGUACAUUUCAUUUUGAAUUGGUUAUUCUUCAAACCAAAAUUCGACAUUCAACGAUUCGAGAAAAUUUCACUGACAUUCGUCGUGCGUUCGUAAGAACUUCGUUUGUAAACGUAAUAAUUUAGGGAUUCAUCUGACAAUGACUUUGUCACCGCAAAAUAUUAUUUUGUGUGCAUGUAUAUUCAGUCAAGUAUUUAUCAUUCUAAAUCAAUUUGAUAGAACGAAAUUAUUUUACACAAAAAGUAAAGCGUCGCUUUCUCGCGUAUUCAUUCGCAUUUUAUCUAGUAAAAUGGCGAUAAUACUUCGGCAUCGAUAUCGACAUACGCUUUUCUUCUUCUUUUCGCAUGGAAGAAUGCUCGUUCAAUAAAAUCACACCGGUUUUCGACGUAUUAUCUAAGAAUAUAUAUGAAUUUAAGUAUUAUCUACAAAAUUAGCAUUAUGUACGUGAGAUUCUUCUUUCUUUAUCUUUCGAUCGAAGAAUAAACGUGCAACGAUUCUGAGAUCGUUACGAUGCAUCGGCAAAACGAAUGAAAAUUCGUCAUACGCAUCCGUCAUGUUUUCAGCUACAUAGUUUUCGCAUGCAUGAUAAAUAUUUGCUCUCGAAUACAAUUUGAUACUUUAUGAUAAUUUACAAAUUGUUCCCGAUGACGAGUUAAUCUUGAGAGGACACAUUAAACCGUAAAAAAACAAACGAUCUUCAGAUUCACUUUGGACGUUCGACUCUUCUGUUUUGUUUUUUUUUUUUUUCAAAAUAACAAGCACACUCUGAGAAAUAGCAGAAAAGCGUGCGGAUAAACCUUUUACGUGAAUCAGCACUUUAUAUAGUUACGAAAAAGUUCGUUCGCCCUCGAUCGAACUGAUUUAUAGUCACAGAAGCUCCGAGAAUGUUCGAUGCCUCACGUUUCACACGAGGGCAUCGUAUAUGAGGAUCGUACAGUUUUCGCAGUUGGAGGCGAUCGAUCCGGCGAGUUUAAUGAUUUUUAAAAUGACUUCAUCUUCCCCGACUUACAUAUAAUGGAAUGCAUUGGAAUAUUUGUCUUAUGAUACAAUAUACGAGGAACUCUCACACCAA